rnacentral:lncRNA from 1 species
GGUAAUCUAGUUUAAGAACGUAACCAAAACAAUGAAUGAGAGUUUAGAGGUCAAAAAUUUUGUUUAUUGAAGUGUUUGAGGGUUUGCCGAAAAGGAGAUACAAAAGACUAAGAACUCGUCGUCAAUAAAUAUUUCUCUUUCGUUCCACCUUCCUCCAUCAUUACGUUUCUGCAUCAGCACAGUGAUUGGCGGGUUCGGCGCCGUAAUAGGGUUUGGUGUUCUGCUUCGCCUGACUCUCAGGUCGUUCUGAUGAGCAGGUGAGAUGAUGGUCUUUUUUUUUUCAGCUGGCCUUUUCUGGGCCGUUCUUUCUUUUCAUGUCUUCGUCCGUCGUUGGAUCGAGUCGACUUUUGAGCCUGGACGGGAAUCUGGACCCAUAUCCAACAAUUACUCUAAAGAGUAUUAACGAUAAUCAUCAUUCUAAUAAAAGACUAGAAAUAAAUACAUAUAGUGUUUAAAUUACUUAUUUAUUUAUUGUGAGUAAAAUACUAUUCUCCCUAACCACAUGUUUUUUUUUUCAGUUAGAUGGAUCAUGGAUGUCUUAAAAAUAUUUGGAAUUUUUUUACUAUUUAUUUAUUUAUUUAUUCUAAAUCGUUGAAUUUAUUGAAUUACCAUUAAUCUUAAUUUAAAUAAUAUUUAAAUGAUAUAUUCAUAACAAUAAUAUUUUUUUCAAUAUAUGUGAAAACAUUAAAAACUAUAUUCGUAGAAAUUUUUGUUUGAUACAUUAAAUUUCUUCAUCUUACGUAGCCAAUUAUAAUUUUAUAAUUUUUAAAAUUAGUAUAAUAUAAAAAAAAAUGGCUGAUUGCGUUAAUUUCGUUAAUUUAGUUGACCUCGCUCUAUUUUUCUAUUUCUCAUAAGUUUAAUAAAACAAACUAUUUUUACCUUAUCUGUUGUGUAUAUAUACUACGAGCGUUAGAAAUACUUUUUUAACAAGAAAACAAAUCAUUGUUUAUGCUAUCUUUUAUCAGAUUUGAGCCAUGAAGUCUCAUAUUUUAUUCAUUUUUUCUUGUGUUAUUUUGUUGCUCGUUUUGAGCUAUCCAGAAGGUAUAUAUCAAUAUUUGUUUUAUGACUAACAAUUGUGGUAUAUAUAAAUAUAUCAACCUCUAAUAUUCAAUUUGCUGCAUUAUCAAAAGAAAAACUAAACUUCAUUAUUUAUUAUAUAAAAAAAAAUUUCUUUGCUGAUAUAAACUGUAGAAGCAAAAGCUAACAGAUGUCACCGUACGGCCUAUUUUCCUGGAAGAUGCGAAGAUGUUGGAAGAACAAGUUGCCUCAUGGAUUUCAAGACACUGGACCCGCGUUUUGAUCAAUGUAGUAGAUGUGAGAACCAUAAGAUCAAUGGUAAACAAGAACGUCGAUGCCAUUGCAGUUUCGCUGCCAAAUCCUGCUUUUAAUUUCAUGCAGAUGUUAGCUAUGGCAUCCGAUUUAAAAGGGCAUAUUUUAAUUUUAUUUUCUUAUUGAUAUUUAC